CACGGCCGGAUUAGCUACCGACGAGGAGGAGGUGGCGGCGGGAUUCAUCGUCGGCGAGGUGGGCGGAGGAAGGAGGAAGACCCGACAGGGUGAGCCUCGCAAGGAAAUCUGACGUGGCUGGAACAGGGACUCCCCCAAGAGAUCCCUGGAAUAAGGGGUGGAGGGGUAAUCUAGAGAGUUCCAGACCUUAGCAAGGCUCUGCUGAAGAGCUUUUUUUUUCCUCCACCAUCUAAUAAGUGAAGAUGCUCUUACUAACUGGAAAAAAAUAGGUCUAUACCUAUGCACACAUGUGGCCUGACCCACCUGGCCCAAUAGCCCACCCAAUAAAAGAAAAAAAAAACCUUGAGGCCUUACUCCUACGGGCUACGGUUCUGUACCUAUUACCAUCUCCCGAGGCCCAUCUCUUCCUUCGCUAAAAAAAAAGGGAAAAACAAACCCAUCUCUUCCCAUCUGGCCAUCUUCCAGGAUCCACUUCUGUCUCCAAAAAUGGCUAGCCGCCACACCGCCUGUUCCUCCAAGCCCUGGGAGCGAACGCGUCCCUUGGGUAUGGUGCCUCCUCAGCGGAGCUCCCAGAUCCGCGCGCUUCGUCCCGUCAAGCAGGAGGCGGGGGAGCAGCACUGCAACGCAUUCCCGAUGGCGGCGUGUGGGGGACGGAGGCAAGUGGCGCUGUAGGUGAGGUGGUGGGAUCUGAGAGCCACCGGUGGCCAGAACGAAGUCGGAAGAUGACCGCAUGGUCUGUGGAGAACUCAACAGGGAUGGUGAAAUUGACAUCGAGAUCGAGGUAGAGGCGAGGGCUUGGGCUUAUAAAAGGUCAUAAGAGGUGAAACCGCUCACAAUUUGUUCAUCUUCCUUGGCUCAAUUAAUCUCUAGAAAAACGAUCCUGCCAGAUCUGUAAAUUGAUUUAUUUUCUUGAGAGGAUCUGUAACUUGAUUUUAACCCUUUUAUUGACCGUUCAUCGGUUCAAUUGCUCUCAGUGGAAAUCAUCGCUAGCUGCUACCUCCAUCAUGCAUGUAGACAAACUUCUAGGAGCCUCAUUCAUUUGCACCAAAUUACUAUGAUCGCUACACAUAUAUAGCAACUGGAGCAAAAUAUGGUUCAUCGCUUUCUCUUUUUCUGUCUAUAAAUGAAAGUCCAGGUGUACAAUUAAACAACAAUCAGGCGCAGACAGCUAUUAAGUUUCGGUUUUCCCUACGAAUGGCCAUGUCUACAUCUGAUUAACCAGCCAUAAAAUAUGUAGUCGAUCCAGGUUCUCAGAUCCAAUCGAAAACAGCCCAGGUUUCUUAGAAUAGCUGAUGACUGUAUUUUAGAAAGUAUCAAUUGGAAGAUUUCACUAGAGCUGAAUGGAGCAGGUUUUGCUACAAAUUAAGAAUCACUCCGCAUGAAAGAUAACGAGCUGGAAAGCCUGCGUCUAAGUUCUAACAUUUGUAUAAAUAAUGCCUGAUGGCACUUCGUUUUCACCCAGUUAAACAAAUGUUGAACUGCCAAUCAAGCCAAUUAGUUUAGUGCUGCAACUUGCAUGUUGUUUAUUAAAAGGUGAAAGCAGCCUUGUUGUAUGCAUAUGCCAACCGUGUAAUAGUAAAUCCUAAUCAGUGCCCCAUCCUUUCCAAACUUGCCAAUACAAUAAGUGAAAUGAUAAGGUUGUCCGGGAGUGUUUAUACUCCAUGAACUAUGAUAAACAUGUGGAUGCCACAUCUCUUGGUCCACACCACCAUACACCAACUAUAGGCAGGGAAAGAGCUAGCUGAGUGGGCAACAAUGGCGGAACUUCUGGUGAGCGCGUCCACGGGUGCCAUGGGCUCCCUCCUGGGAAAGCUAGGAACCAUGCUGAGCGAUGAAUUCAAGCUGCUCAAGGGUGUCCGUGACGACAUAAGCCUUCCCAUCGUGAUGGCGGACGAGGAGAAACCUGACCCCCAAGCUAAGCUUCGGGUGGAUGAGGUGCGAGAGAUGUCCUACGAGAUCGAGGACAGCAUCGACAAGUUCAUGUUACUUGUGGACCGUGCGCCCAGUUCCAUGUCCGAUGGAUUCAGGAAGCUUUUCAGCAAAAGCAUGGAGACAAUCAAGAACGUCAAGACCCGACAUAAGAUCGGCAAGGAGGUCAAAGGCAUCAUGAGCCAAGUCAAGGAGAUCGGCGAUAGCUAUACAAGGUACAUGUAUAAUGAGUAUUCCAAGCCUAAAAAUGAAAGGGUUGAUCCACGACUUCGCGCCAUCUAUAAAGACGCAGCUGAGCUUGUUGGUGUCGAUGGUCCGAGAGAUGAGCUUGUAAUUGGCUUAGCAACAAGGACGGUGAGUUUGUAAUUAAAACAAAAGUUGUCUCCAUUGUUGCAUGUGGAGGGUUAGGCAAGACAACCCUUGCCAAACAGGUCUAUGACAAGCUCGGAACAAACUAUGAAUGCCGGGCUUUCGUUUCAGUCUCACGAAGUCCUAAUAUAACCAUGGUCUUGAGUUCUAUAUUAUCUCAACUCCGCAACCAAGAUUAUGCUCAUGGAGGGGAUCCAGCACUCAUCAUUGAGCAGAUCAGAAAUUUCCUGCAAGAUAAAAGGUACUUUAUCAUAAUUGAUGAUGUAUGGGAUAAACAGACAUGGCAGGAUUUGAAUUGUGCAUUAGUGAGGAAAGACCAUGGGAGCGUAAUAAUUAUCACAACCCGUCUACAUGAUGUAGCUAAAUCAUGUUGCCCUUCAGAUGAACAUCUUGUCCACAAAAUCAACCACUUGGUGUUGCUGACUUGAAGUAGUUAUUUUUCGAGAGAAUAUUUGGGUCUGAAGAAAAGUGCCCUCCCAACUUGAAAGAAGCCUCGGGGGAAAUUUUAAAGAAAUGUGGUGGUUUACCACUAGCUAUCAAUGCCAUAUCGAGCUUGUUGGCCACUGGGAAAACAGAAGAGGAGUGGAAUCGGGUUCGAAGAUCUAUUGGCUUUGCACAAGGCAAAAAUUAUGACAUUGAUGCCAUGAAUUACAUAUUAUCUCUGAGCUACUUUGAUCUCCACUCUGUCUCAGAAGUUGCCUAUUGUAUUUGACUAUGUUUCCUGAAGAUUAUGAGAUUGGAAGGGUGAGAUUAGUCCGUAGAUGGAUUUCUGAGGGUUUCAUCCAUGGCGAAGAUGGAGAAGAUCUUGUUGAACUAGGAACAACUUAUUUCUAUGAGUUGGUUAACAGAAGUUUAAUACAGCCGAGACACAUAAGGUACGAUGGUACAGCAUCGGGUUGCUGAGUCCAUGAUACCAUCCUUGAUUUCCUCACUUAUAAGUCUACUGAAGAGAACUUUGGUACGUUGUUAAACAACCGUUUGAAGUCUGGUACCAGAGUUCGUCGGCUCUCUCUUAUGGGAAAAGAAGAUCAAGAAAGUGUCGAUAAAUUGGAUUUAUCACAUGAUCGAUCACUUGUUGCUUUUGGGCAUUCAGUAGAAUACUUGCCUUCCCUUGUGAAGUCAACUGCUCUGCGUGUGCUGGACGUACUGGACUGGGAAAUCAUCAUGUCAAAGAUAUCGGAAGGCUUUUACAGCUGAGGUACUUGGAUAUAUGUGGCGGCAAAAAAAUAACCGAGCUUCCUAGAGAAAUUGGAGACUUGGAGUAUCUAGAGACGCUAGAUGUGCGUGUUACAGAAUUACAUGAGCUUCCUGAAUCAGUGACUCGGCUGAAACGAUUAGCACGUCUAUUCGUUCUAAGUAAGGUUAAAUUGCCUGAUAGCAUUGGAAACAUGGAGAACUUGCAAGAUCUGAGGAUCAUAGAUACUCGGGUGCAAUCAGUGAAGUUUCUGGAAGAGCUUGGAAAACUAACAAACCUGAGGGAGCUGGUAAUUUGUUGGGACGACAGAGAGGUUGACAAAGCAAGUUGCAAGAGAGAAAAGCUAGUGUCAACUCUCUGUAAACUGGAUGCCUGCAAGCUUGGUAACCUCGAACUUAUAUUCCAUCUGAGAGAAGACGGUGGCUUCAUAGGACCUGCAUCCUUUCCUGCUCUCCGUAGCAUCCGAGCUAUUAAAAUCGAGCAUGGCCAAGUCCGCUGGUUUACCAAAUGGCUGCUUUCACUUGUUAACCAAGAAGAAUUAUAUGUGUUGCAGGAGGUAAAGAUAGAGCAACAGGAUGUUGAGCUGGUUGGAAGCAUACCUACUCUCCUCGAAUUCUAUGUGAAUAACCCCUCCGCAGGGCCCAUCAGCAGCAGCAACAGCGGCGUAGGAUUUCAACAGCUACAGUGGCUUGGAUUGUGCUUGGACGUUACGGGGUUGGCGUUUGAAGUGGGGACUAUGCCGAAUCUCAAGGAGCUUUUCCUCCGUAUUCAUGGGCGUCAUUACAGGUCUGCUGCUGUUGGUGGCUUGGAUGAUUUCCGCCUCCAACACCUCUCCAACCUUUCUUAUAUCUAUGUACACAUAGAUUGCUCUGGCGCGAGGGCUGCGGAUGUGAAGACCGCGGAGGUUUCUGUCGAGCAUGGUCGAGGCACACCCAAACAGUCCCACUUUGCGAAUGGGAAGGAUCAGAGCCCAGGCCAUGUUAAAAGAUAAAGAUGAAAUAGCAAUCUAAGAGAUAAAGGAAACGGAUAUUUGUCUGCCAACUGAUCUGGGAGGAGCAGGGGAGGACUGGAGUAACAUGGGAGGAAUGUUAGGCCUCCAGCCCGACUGCUGCGCGAACGUUAGUUCCGGCCAAGAUUUACAUGCAAGUAAGAAAAAAACAUGUGCAGGUCUAGACAUAUGUACAUUACUAAUUCAGAAGUUUGUACUCUUCAUCUAUAUUUUUUUCUUUUUCCUCACUAUCAUCGUAGUUUUAAACGCACUUGUAUGCCUGUGUGUUCCCUUACCCUUCCUUAUCCUUGUAUGCUGUAAAGAUGCACAUCUCUCAGUUCGCUGAAUAUAGGAAUGAGCUGUGGUGGACCUUAAGGUUGAAUCCAAUACACAGGAGAAAAGUAUGAAGCAUGGAAGAGUACAGCACGAAGCAACAAGGAUAGAUUGAAACAAAUAAACAAGAUGUAGAAACAAACUUACCAUUUGAGUGCGAAAUUCAGAUGUAGAAUAAUCGACAGGUUUCCUGUUACCCGGGGAAUUAAGCACUCGCUCGAUGCAAAUGGUGUCUGCCCAAGACAGGGCAUGAGAAUAGCCGGAGACAAAUUGCCCCAGUUUAGGGACACAGAUUAGCUCGACUUGUAAAUGUACCCCCAAAGCGGGCAUUGAUUGGGGAUAUCUGAAUCUUGCAAUGCAGGCUUAAUCU